UACGUAGGGGGCAAGCGUUGUCCGGAUUUAUUGGGCGUAAAGAGCGUGUAGGCGGCCUGAAAGGUCAGCUGUGAAAACUCGAGGCUCAACCUCGAGACGUCGGUUGAAACCAUCUGGCUAGAGUCCGGAAGAGGAGUGUGGAAUUCCCGGUGUAGCGGUGAAAUGCGCAGAUAUCGGGAAGAACACCCGUGGCGAAGGCGGCCCACUGGGCAGUCACUGACGCUGAGGCGCGAAAGCUCGGGGAGCGAACGGG
rnacentral:rRNA from 1 species